AUCCUCUGAUGUUGUACUGUGACAACAAAGCUGCCAUUGACAUUGCAAAUAACCCUGUUCAGCAUGAUCGAACCAAGCAUAUAGAAAUUGAUCGUCAUUUUAUUAAGGAGAAGCUUGAUAGAGGGAUAAUUUGCCUACCGUAUGUAACCUCAGCUAGUCAGGUAGCAGAUGUCCUUACAAAAGGACUCCCCGAAAAAACAUUUUUCAUGUUUUGUAGCAAGAUGGGUUUGUAUGAUGUAUUUGCCCCAUCUUGAGGGGGAGUGUUGGUGUAUGACUAUAUUUACCUAGUUCCUUAGGGACUAAAAUGUAAAAUGUACACAUACUAUAGAUGUAUACAGAGAGAGGGACCGAGGAGAAUGGUCCAGAAAUUUCCCCAAAUCCUCUCCAUGGUUCUUCCAAUCCCUAAAACUAUUCUCUCAAAUCUUGCUUGAUUUUCAAGAACUGAGCUGGGGACAACUUUUUCCGGACGGAGGGAGUAUGAUGUAGACUACCAGCCCAUGCUGCCACAUCGAGCUUUCCGAAGGUGUGGUCUUGUGGUUUACUGUCGCUCGCUGCAGGCCUCAGCUUGGAACAACCAACGAGCAUUUUUUGCGGAUUAAAAACACGGAAUAGAAUUGCGGUCGAUCCCUCCCCUCCCCUCCAAUGGCUUCGCUCUGCUCCUAAUCUGCUUCAUUGAUGGGCUGCUUGCUGCUUGGGCUCCACUGACUUGAACAGCCCAGUCCUAAAUGGGCUCGAGCAUCCAUAAGGCCCAACCGUGCCAUCCCCACUCCGCCACUCUGCUCAGACGCGUCAGCGGAUAGAUGACAAUGGCAAUGGCCGCCGCCACCAGCUCGGAGCGGCGCGCCGGCGACCAUGGCCGCCGCACCGAAGAGCGCGGGCGCCGUCGCUGCGCGCCGUACCCGUCGCAAGUGAGCGAGCGUGGUGCUUCAGAAUUUGCGUAGCAAUCAGUUGAUUUUCUUGGUUUUGGUGCUUCAGAACCCUCACCCCUCAGCCAACCGAUGCGUAUGCAGUAAAAUGUGCUACGAAAAAGGCAAGUAAAACAUUUGUCGUCAGAUUGCAGACUUCAUUUUCUGCAGUUCUGAUUGUGUUUAAUCAAUAUCUUUUGGCCACACAAAUCAUAUUAAGAUCGUAUUAAGAUGGUUUGGUUCACAAGUCAUUUUCUGCAGUUCUUGGCACACAUCCAACCAAUGCCCCUCGCCACCUAUUGAGCUUCACAAAUAAUUUUCUGCAGUUCUUGGCACACUAUUAAGCUUCCACUAAGUGCUCUGCUCUGACUACAUAGAGGGUGCUAGUUCCAGAACUUAAAUUUACAAGUGAACUUGAAUUUCUGGCCACCAAUUUCAACUACGAUUUCAUAUGUGAAGAGAAGCGAAAUCUUGUCUAGCAAUCAGUUGAUUUUGUUGCUUCAGAACCCUCACCAAUGCGUAUGCAGUAAAGGCAGAAACAGAACUAAAACAUUUGUUGUCAGAUUGUCCACAUACGCGGUAUGCUGGUUUGCUAACUCAUUUUCUACAGUUCUGAUUGUGCUUAAUCAAUAUCUUUUGGCCACACAAAUUAUAUUAAGAUGGCUUGGUUCACAGUGUGCUCUGUCAAUCGGCUAUAACCAAUAAAUUACCCUUCCUCUUAGGCUGUUCUUGGCACACCUAUUGAGAUUCGACUAAUUGUUCUGACUACAUAGAGGGUAACAGAGCUCAGCAACAGUGACAAAGAUUUUCUUGGAAACGAGGAAGGAUGCUACUAUUAUUAUUUCAGAAACAACGCCAAUGUCGCUCCUAUUAUUCAACAGUAACAUCCAAGAAAUACGCAAUCACCAACCGACUGGCACACACCACAUUUUCGUCUGUCUCGACUCACUCCCACUACUAAACCAAACUAGCACACCAAUUACUCGACCUUGAAUCUUAAAAAGAGCAGCGCCUAGGAAGAAAACGAAAGCAUUCUCAAAUCUCAAUCUUUUCUUUCAGAAAUCCAAGGGACCCUUCUAUCGGGCAGGAGGUGGCCAGAUCACUUGCUCGA